rnacentral:lncRNA from 1 species
CCAAAACUCCUUUUUUGCAUCCUCAAAAAUUCCAAAAAAAUUAUUAAGAUAUGGAAAAGAAAUCUAGAGUCUCACAUACUAAAAAAUUUUUCAAGAAAAAUAAAAAAAAUAAUAUGACUCUAAUAAUAUACCAUAUACGAAAAAUCUCUUUCCUAAUCUGCAUCUUAUCUCUAAUUUGGAUCGCAUUCAAAUUAGGUAAGAGAUAAUAUUAUGACUCAUCAGCUAUAGCCGACCACCCUUAUUAGAUCCUCUCUCAUGAUGCUAAAAAUUACAAUCCAAAUCUAAUUAGACAUGGAGAAAUUGGUAUGGAUCCAGAUGUGGCGCAAA